UACAGAGGGGGCGAGCGUUAAUCGGAAUUACUGGGCGUAAAGCGAACGUAGGCGGCGACGUAAGUCGGGUGUGAAAGCCCCGGGCUCAACCUGGGAAUUGCAUUCAAGACUGCAUUGCUGGAGUACGGAAGAGGAGGGCGGAAUUCCCGGUGUAGCGGUGAAAUGCGUAGAUAUCGGUAGGAACAUCAGUGGCGAAGGCGGCUCUCUGGACCAAUACUGACACUCAAGUGCGAAAGCGUGGGGAGCAAACAGG
rnacentral:rRNA from 1 species